rnacentral:misc_RNA from 1 species
GGAUCAAUCUGGUUUCCCAUCCGGUACACACUUUUUUCCUCUGAAAUGCAAUUUUCUUCUAUUGUCUCAACUUCAGUAUUUCUUUCGUUUUCUAAAUUGGAGGUGGAGCACAUGAUCUGACUUAGAUGCAAUUCAUAAAACCACCAUGCUUUUCAUCCGUCACCCCCCCCUCCCCUCCCCACAACAACACACACACACACACACACAAU